rnacentral:lncRNA from 1 species
UUUUAUUAAAAUGUUAUUUCAAGUGUCACACUGGUUUUAAUUGUUGUUUUGGAUUGGGCCUUUGCGCUUUUCGCUUUUCACACCUCCCUUUCAGGGCCCAUCAGCACCAAAUAAUCUCUUUUAUUUUCUUAUUUUAAUUUCAACUUAUUUUCUGUUUAGAUAUUAAUUAUUUUAAAAUAUUUUCUUUAUUCAUAAAAAGGUCCAAAAAU